rnacentral:tRNA from 1 species
ACUUACUUAGUUUAAUAAAAACAUUUUAUUUUCAAUAAAAAGAAAUAGGAUGCCCUUAAGUAAGUU